rnacentral:rRNA from 1 species
GCUGAACUUAAGCAUAUCAAUAAGCGGAGGAGAAGAAACUAACAAGGAUUCCCCUAGUAACGGCGAGCGAAGCGGGAAGAGCUCAAAUUUGAAAGCUGGCACCUUCGGUGUCCGCGUUGUAAUCUCGAGACGUGUUUUCCGUGUGGCGCUAUGGACAAGUCCCUUGGAACAGGGCAUCGUAGAGGGUGAAAAUCCCGUACUUGCCAUGGCUGUACCAUGCUUUGUGAUACACGCUCUAAGAGUCGAGUUGUUUGGGAUUGCAGCUCAAAAUGGGUGGUAGACUCCAUCUAAAGCUAAAUAUCGGGGAGAGACCGAUAGCGAACAAGUACCGUGAGGGAAAGAUGAAAAGCACUUUGGAAAGAGAGUUAAAAGUACGUGAAAUUGUCGAAAGGGAAGCGCUUGAAGUCAGCCAUGCUGCUUGAGACUCAGCCUUGCUUUUGCUUGGUGUAUUUCUCGGUAGCAAGCCAGCAUUGGUUCGAGUCGUCGGAGAAGGGUAUGAGAAAUGUGGCAUCCUCGGAUGUGUUAUAGACUUGUACUGGAUACGACGAUUUGGAUCAAGGAACGCAGUGUGCCUCUGGCGGGUCUUCGGACACCUUCACACUUAGGAUGCUGGCGUAAUGGCUU